AGUGAACGCUGGCGGUAGGCCUAACACAUGCAAGUCGAACGGCAGCACAGUAAGAGCUUGCUCUUACGGGUGGCGAGUGGCGGACGGGUGAGGAAUACAUCGGAAUCUACUUUUUCGUGGGGGAUAGCGUAGGGAAACUUACGCUAAUACCGCAUACGACCUACGGGUGAAAGCAGGGGAUCUUCGGACCUUGCGCGAUUGAAUGAGCCGAUGUCGGAUUAGCUAGUUGGCGGGGUAAAGGCCCACCAAGGCGACGAUCCGUAGCUGGUCUGAGAGGAUGAUCAGCCACACUGGAACUGAGACACGGUCCAGACUCCUACGGGAGGCAGCAGUGGGGAAUAUGGGACAAUGGGCGCAAGCCUGAUCCAGCCAUACCGCGUGGGUGAAGAAGGCCUUCGGGUUGUAAAGCCCUUUUGUUGGGAAAGAAAAGCAGCAGGUUAAUACCCCGCUGUUCUGACGGUACCCAAAGAAUAAGCACCGGCUAACUUCGUG
rnacentral:rRNA from 1 species